ACGAAAACAUGGUAUUUUAUUGUCUCUAAGAUACCAAGUGGAGUUAAUAAGAGGUUAAGAGGUAGACUGCUCAUGAAAACAAUUGUGCCAUGAAAUAUCAAGAAUAUAGCUUUAGACUGAUUGGACUGCCGUUAUAUUAUGGAUUUCCCCAAUCACUCAGUGGUAAAGAAUCCACCUGCCAAUACAGGAGAUAAAGGUUCGAUCUCUGGUCUGGGAAGAGCCCCUGGAAGAAGAAAUGACAAUCCACUCCAGUGUUCUUGCCUGAGAAAUCCUAUGGACAGAGGAGCCUGGUGGGCUAAGGUCCAUGGUGUCUGAAAGAGUUGAGCACCACAGUAACUGAACUGGUGGGCUAAGGUCCAUGGUGUCUGAAAGAGCUGAGCACCACAGUAACUGAACAACAGUGAACACUUUAUUGGAUUGGUUAAAAGGGUGUUUUUUUGGUUUUUCCAUAACACCUUGUGGACAAACCCAAAUGAAAUUUUUGACCAACCCAGUAUUUCCAUGUGUUUCCACAGCUGAAAAAAGCCUUGGGCUGAAUAUUUUCAUUUGACCUUCCAAUCACACCCUCCACCCUCUCCUCUAUCCCUCUUUGCACUUUCAGAGGCUGGCUAGGUGGUCUCUAUCAGCAGACUUCCUGCCCCUCUGGAUUCCAGUUGGUUUGAACCAACUGAUUGCUUUUCUCAAGUGAAGAUCAUAUAGCCCUUCUCUGAAGGCUCUCACCACCCAGCUCAGUCUGCCUCCAGUUGGGGGGACCCGACUCCUCUCUCUCUCCUUCAGGCUUAGAGAUGCUAACAGUUGUGCCCUGGGACCGACCAUCCUUCAGGGGCUUCCCAACAGCCUGACCACACACUUGUAAAUCAAAUGUAAACUUGUAAACUUCUCCUAGUUUAUCCCACUGAAUGUGCCUUUUGUUUCCUGCUGGAAGGCUGACAGAUACAAACAUCAAGAGAACAUCUUGCUCAGUGAUUUCUAAACAUAAGUUUGGGAACCACUCUGGGCCGGACGUAUCAGAAUCGCUUAGGGAGAUUUUUGAAAAGAUGGAUUCCUGGACCUCACGCCUGGAGAACUCAGAGCCAUCGCGAGUGAGGCCACAACACGAAAAUCUCCACUGCCAGAGGGAGAGACGGCUUUUUACCUGCAAAGAUUGGCAAACGGGGCCCUUUGCCGUGGAGAAGUUUGCCUGUGGUGCCUCAGUGGCUGAGAAAGAGCAAAUACAUCCUUGGAACAACUGUUUGGUUUAAUUGCUGAGAAGUCAAUCUGGCCAGAACUGCUUGCUUUUAGCAAUUUUUGUUGAAUAUGGUUCUCUGAGAAAACAUCAAGUGACAGGAGAGAAGGGAAGAGGACCAGUUUCAAGGCCGAAGGAGUCAAAAAAAGCAUAAGAGGAACCUACUUAUCUCUCCAUUCUCACGGAUACAUGGGUUUGGGAUUGACUGACCAGUUUCAGGUACAGCAGGCAUUGAAUGCCCUUGAUCUGGGCUCCGAUUAGGACAUAAAAAUGAUGGAAUUUGGGAGCUUCAAGGAACUUUCAAAAUCCUUUACACUCUUUCCUUCUACAGAUGAAGAAGUAAAUUCAGGGUUUUUUUCUCUUCGGUGUCUGUUAAGUGACUUAACUGAAUGUUUCAGAAACUGAGGCAGGAUUAGAACUCAGGUCUCCCAAUGAUGAAUCCAAUACUUUUCCCAUGUGUCACUCAAGAAGCUUUCCUGGCCGAACAGCCUAAAUUAUGGAGCACAGUCUUUAGGUCAGAUCCACUUGGAGAAAAUAGAGGAGCAGUGGAAUGCCAACUUUUACUGGAACCUCCCAAGAAAGACUCAAAAUCAUGGUGCUCAUGGGGGCCCUAGUCCCUCCAGAGGUCACAUUGGUUUUCUCUUGGAGACCUAGCAGAAUGUGGAAGUAUAUUUUAGGGUAAACUAAAUGGUCUUGCUUUUUAAGAAAAAAAUAUUUAUUUGACUGCACUGGGUCUUAGUUAUGGCACGUGAAUUGUGGCAUACGGAAUUUAAUUCUCUGACCAGGAAUCAAACCCAGGCCCCUUGCAUUGGGAUCAAGGAGUCUUAGCCACCAAACAACUAAGUCCCUAAAGGGUCUUGCUUUUGAUGGCAGCCCUGACUUCCAGUCCUUCAAGAACGACACACCUGCCAGAGCUGGUAAUGGUUUAGACACUUCACACAGUCCAUCCUAGGCUUUGAGAGAGCCCGGGCCUGGGGUGGUCACAGCCCUCCUAGCUGGCCCAGGAGAAGCCAAGAUACCAGUUUUCGCUGGCCUUCAGAAGUGGCCCCUGUGCACUGAAGGCAAGGAGAGGAUUCAUGUUCAAGAAGAGCACAAUGAAGGAGCUCACUUGGGUCCAUUUUGUCAUUGUUGCUGUUGCCUCUGGGCCGUGAAGACCUCAAGCUUUCAACCAUCCCCCUCUGUGGUUUGGCUUCCCCUGUAGGUCUCCAGCCCUAAGUCUUCCCUUGAGGCACAUUGCUAUAUCUCUUCUGCUUUCUGAUGUUUCCAGAAGGAUAUCCUCUAUCACCUGCUUCCCAUCAAAUCUGAAACUGAACUCACUCCUCCCCUGAAAGAUGGACUUCUCCAUUUUUGUUUAAAAAGAAAGAAAAAACAAAAACUAAAGCUAAACACACUACGAUUCUUCCAGUUAUACCUCUGAGUUAUUUUUGGAUCCACUUCCUCUCUCGGACUUCCACCUGGCAUAUCAGUUGGCUCCCAAACCUUAUCAAGUCUCUCUUUGUAGAGUUUUCUUUUAUUGCCUACACGCUAGAAAAACAAGUCACUACCCCAGGCUCCUCACCUCUGUCUCUAGCCUAAUCCGUGCUGCAGCUCAUGACAUUUGAGAUAAUACAUUCCUGAUGGCUAAGUCACCCAGGUGUUGGUGGUGUGUGACAGCGGCCUUCGCUAGGCGGCUCCAGGGUCUCCCCCACGUGUCAGCCCUCCACGCCUUGGCACUGGCUGAUUCCUUUGCAUGGCAUGCACCCCACCCUGUCCCCUUUGUCCUAUUUGGCCAACUUCCUCUUGUCCUUUAAAAUGGAACUGAUGCGUCUCUUCUUCUUUCACCCAAUAUCACCUCCAGAGGAAAGUUUGAUCUCUUCCUCUUUCACCACGACCCACUGGGACUCAUACAUUCCUCUCCUAGCGCGUGGAGUUGCCCCUGCCUUCCUGCUCAGCCUUGGCUUUCAAACUACUGUUCUCAAUCUUCACUGUGUAUUAAAGCAACCUCUAAUAAUGUGAUUUUAAAAAAUACUAAUGCCCGGAUCCUUCCCCCUGAGAUUCUGGUUGGGUGGUCUUGGGUGAGGCUCUGGCAUUUUUCAGUAGACCCCCAGGUGACUCUAAUGUGCUGCUGGGAUGAGAAACAUGGUAUUAAGGCUCCUGUAGGAUAGGGCUUUGGUCUUAUUCUCUGAUCCUCGAUCAGCCCUCAAGUAAGCACCUUCUAAACCUUCACUCAACUAGAUGAAGGGCCCCAGGUCCUCUGCCUGUCCUCUGCUUUUCUCUCUCUUCUCACUGAGCAUCUUCACUCCUAAAAAAAAAGGCGGGUGGGCACCAGGAACAAAACCUCGGUAAAAUGCCACUUGAAGGUUUAGAGAAUUAGGCCACCUGGAGUCAGCAUAGGUAGGAGGAGACAUAAAAUACGAUCACAGUAUUUCAAAUAUGGUAAAAUAAAAAUGGAGAAGGAGCACAUUGUAAAUAUCCACUUCCCCACCUUCAAACGUUUCUUCUCUCCUUCUGGACCCAGAAUGUGGGAAAAUGUCUCAUCAACCAGCACUCCUGCUCCCCGUCCAUGCCUUUUCCCUGAGGAAUUUCAGAGAAGAAAAGCAGUGCUAUAUUUAUGCUUUUCUAAUGUUCUUAUCUAACCAUCCCUCAGUAAAAAGGAAAUCUGGGAAUAUUUGAGAAACCCCCCAGCUUCCUCUCCAGCACCCCCUUACUCCAAUACUCAGUGUUCAGUCUUUCUCCCUUUCUUCUCCCUCUAUAUAAACAUUUAGGUGAAAAUAAGUGAUAAAGGGCUGUUUGCUUUCUUUUUUCCCUGUGAUAAAAUUAUCACAUCCUCAUACAAAGUUCAGAAAAAUUUUA
ensembl:lincRNA